AUUAAUACAAAUUUACUUAACAACACAAAAUCAAAGUCGCAGUAGCUCGUAGUUAAAUACACACUAAAAUUUUUAUCAAACGGUUGACUACUUACAAUUAUUAAUUACACAAAUCAACAACAGAAGCCUAGUAACUUGGUUGAAACCUACUCCCUCAAACUCCGCCUUGAAUCCUGCACAAUCUAUUAGGGUAUGAGCAUUCUAAUGCCCAGUAGAGUACUGCCAAACCCCUCAAGGUCAACUCUCACAGUCAAACAAAGUGUCAUCCAUCAAACAACAGAAGAUACAUAAAUUAUGCAACCAUACAAGAUAAAUACAUUUGCAUAUGCGGUGAUGCCAUGAACUCGCUCCCUUCUGAUUCCACUAAUUCGUACCUUAGGGCAACAAGGCUGCAUGUCCCAUACCAUGCGUUUUACCACUGCGGCUCUGAAUACCCUAAAAUAUGAACUAGCACCCAUUCGUCCCUUAACCCAGUUUUCUUUUGUUUACGAAUUUCUCAACUUUCACUUUUCCUUAGAGGCUUUGCUCCCAUCACCUUAAUAUAUUCAAACCCUGCUCUUGUCACCUGAAUAUAUUCCACAUUUUUUUACUCAGAUAUAUCUAAGGCCUUCUUCCACUCCUUAGAUAUAUGUCAAAUGACACACAAAGCCUUAACACCAUUUAUGAUGCAUAUGUAAUCUAGCGCAAACAUCAUUUAUCUCUAUUGAAUAAUAAUACAGAUAAUAACAAUAAUAUUUCAAGCUCCAUCACAUGAAUAAUCUAUUCACCCAACAUCAAAAAUAAUAUCCAUGGAGAAACAUCGAUAAUAAUAUUCACAUAACAUCAAAUAAUAUUCAUCGAGGAAAGCAACAAUAAUAUUCAUAUUUAUAACAUCAUAUAUAAGCACGAAGAUUAAAAGUGACAUAGCCCUAUCAUCGGGAAAUCAAGAAAACCUAUCUCAUGUCCAGCCAGCUUAACCUUGUGCGGGUUCGUCCUCGAAAGUACGCAGAGUAGAACACCUUCAAAGAAUCAUUUACUUGAGAUGAUAGUGGCUAAUUUGAUCAACUGAAUGACAAGUAACAAGCCAUUUGAGAGAAAGUACACAUCUUUGGAUAUGUUAUAAAGAGGAGAAUUUGGAGUAACUAUCAUGAAGAAACCAUAGUGUUUUGAGCUUCCAAAAUGAGUGUUCUGGACUGAAAACAAGGGAAGGAACUAGGGUCGAAGACUAUAAACAAGUUCCACUCUAAAAGUUCCCGAGGUGGCUACAGAUGUCUGAUCAACCUAAAGUUUUGAUAUGUUAUAAUAGACAAAAUUCCGAACAACUUUGAUGAAGGAACCAAAGUCAUUUGAGUAUAGGAGAUCAUAGAAACAUAUUGAAACCGAGCAUACUACUGCAAAAUCAGAAAAUGGUAAACAUAUUGUGAUCAUACCAACUUUUCAGAGCCUGUGCUAGUCAGAUAGAGCUGAAAUUGGAAAAUGUUAUAGAAAUCACGUAAAUGAACAACUUUUAUGAAGGAAGUUUUCUCAUUUGAGGUUCCAAAAUUUGAGUUCUCGGCUGCUCCAAGGAAGUAACGAAUUUUGGAUUUUGAAGAGGAACAAAAGAAGAAUGAGGAAGAAAGUGACGAUACAAUGAAUGAGGAGUAAGAGAAUAAAUUCAUGAUUGACGAAUCUUAGGCUAGGUGACUCACCACUUUAGACUAGGUGACUCAUCCUUUCAUAAUGGCAAAUUUGAGCUUGAGGCAAGAGGGGAAGAAUGAGAGGAGGGUGGUUUGAUGCCAUCGACGUUUCAGUUUUUUGUUUUUUUUUGUUUUUUGCUUUUUUUUUUGUUGUUGUUGUGGGCCUACAAGGGUAUUUUGGUAAAUUUUCACAUAUAGGGGUAUUUUGGUCAUUUUGUCCAACUUGAAAUUAAACACAUUUAAUUUAAUAAUCUCCAUCCAAAAUCACUUGAUAAAAUACCCAUAUGUUGUAAAGAAGAAUAAGUAAAGAAGAAUAGGUGAAGCCCACAUAGCCAACUAACACCCACCAAACCUAACCACACACCCACCAAACCAAACCACUACUCAAUUGAUUGAAGAAUAUUAAUGAUGUUGUUGAUUGAAGGAUAUUAAUGAUGUUGUUGAUUGAAGAAUAUUAAUGAUGUUGUUGAUUGAAGAAUAUUAAUGAUGUUGUCUACCAAUUAUAUUGUGAGGUGAACAACCAAUGUCUUAGGCCUAUAAAUAGAUACCUCCAUCAAGAGAAGUUUACACAUAUAGAAGAGGAAGAGAAGGAAGAAUGAGGGUGAGUAAGUUGAGAGGAAAGAGAGCAAGAGAGAAAUUCUCCAAGAGAGAAAAUUGAGUGAGCCAUACAUAUUGUAAACACAAAGUUGUAGCCCUAUUAUUUUACAUAGUGGAAAAGUUACUGCUGCUGCUCUCCAGGGAUGUAGGCAUAGCCGAACCUCGUUAA
rnacentral:lncRNA from 1 species